rnacentral:rRNA from 1 species
UACGUAGGGGGCAAGCGUUGUUCGGAAUUACUGGGCGUAAAGGGCGCGUAGGCGGCCCGGCAAGUCAGGAGUGAAAGGCCUGGGCUCAGCCGAGGAACUGCUUUUGAGACUGCCGAGCUAGAGUGCAGAAGGGGCAACUGGAAUUCCCAGUGUAGCGGUGAAAUGCGUAGAUAUUGGGAAGAACACCUGAGGCGAAGGCGGGUUGCUGGGCUGACACUGACGCUGAGGCGCGAAAGCCAGGGGAGCAAACGGG